rnacentral:lncRNA from 1 species
GAGACUCAACUCAAAAUGAUAGAAAAUGAUCACUUGUCAUAUUCUGGACAAUAUGCCAAGGUGCUGAUUUUGAACUGAGAGUCUAUCGGAAACAGCCUCUCUACAUUCAAGGUAGGGGUAACCCCACUUGUGGGACUAUAUUGGAUUUGUUGUUAUUGUAUGGCAAGGUGCUGAUCUAAAGAUGCAUGAGUAAUGCAUAUAUGUAUUUGUAUGCUGGAACCAAAAUGUUUGUGGACUAAAACCUUUGGAAGUGCUGGACCAGAAGCAUACAUUAUUAUGAAAAGUUUUGUUAUACAAUAGAUCCUUCACUUGGGAACAGAAGCUAUCUGAAAUCUGCUUUUGUGCCUUGCUACCUUGAAUGACAAUAUUCUACUCAUGAAAAGUUCAUCACACCAAUUCAUUGUUAGUUGGUUUGUGCCAGUAAUUCAGCUGUAGGAAGAGUGAGCUCUGCUUGAGAACGUAC